UACGUAGGGUGCGAGCGUUGUCCGGAAUUACUGGGCGUAAAGAGCUCGUAGGUGGUUUGUCGCGUUGUUCGUGAAAACUCACAGCUCAACUGUGGGCGUGCGGGCGAUACGGGCAGACUGGAGUACUGCAGGGGAGACUGGAAUUCCUGGUGUAGCGGUGAAAUGCGUAGAUAUCGGGAGGAACACCAGUGGCGAAGGCGGCGAUCUGGGAAGAUACUGACGCUGAGGUGCGAAAGCGUGGGGAGCAAACAGG
rnacentral:rRNA from 1 species